GGUUUUGGCUCAGUGGGAGUGCAUCUGCUUUGCAUGCAGAAGGUCCCGGAUUCAACCCCCAGCAGCAUCU